UUUCUGCUCAGUAAGGAAAGCUGAAACUGCUUUUACAUAGCCUCAAAUAUUCACAGCCAUUCUCUUGAUCAUCACUUCUAUUAUGCACGUGGAAGUCGUCGAGAAUGGUUGGAGCCUCCAGAUAUUGGCUUGAAAAACGUCAAGAGGGUUGUGUCGCAUCUUUUCUGCACUCUGGAAGUGGACAGAAUGGGCGCACCUUCGACAUUUUACCUUUAAAGUGAACAAGAGCACUGUCUCAUCUCUUUCUAUUCAGUGAGAAAAGGUGAAAGAAGCUAUUUGAAUGCUGGAUGUGGUGUUUUGGAUGUGAUGUUUUAACCCCUUGGUGUUUUUUAGGGUCAAAAUUGGAAGUUCUUUUUUCGCGUCCAGUUUUGUGCUAAGAUGAAAGCAGAGAUCCUGCUGUAUCUACGCUCCUGAUUCUAGCAAGAUUCGAGCACUUUUAUUUUUUUGCUGAAAAUGAAAAAAAAAUGCAAGCCUAACCCCUUGAUGUUUUUUAGGGUCAAAAUUUUAAGUUCUUUUCUCGCGUCCGGUUUUGUGCUAAGAUGAAAGCAGAGAUCCUGCUGUAUCUACGCUCCUGAUCUAGGCAAGAUUUGAGCACUUUUUCUUUUCUUUUUUUUUUUUUUGCUGAAAAUGAAAGAAACGCAAGCCUAACCCCUUGGUGUCUUUUAGGGUCGAAAUUCGAAGGCCGAAACUAGGCCUUAGACAAUGACUACUGUGCAGCAGAUAUGGAUCACGAAUAAGGACAUGUGGGACCUCUGGCUUCUGAGUAAGAAUGUCUGGUAGUGGAACGUCGUCUCCGUUUCCACCAGCCGAAUAUAUGCCUACUUCUCGUUGUAUCUGCCUACUUGUUUUCUCAGGAGAGUAAUAAAAAUUCAGCAAGCCGUGUUGUA